rnacentral:rRNA from 1 species
AGCAGCCGCGGUAAUUCCAGCUCCAAUAGCGUAUAUUAAAGUUGUUGCAGUUAAAAAGCUCGUAGUUGAAUUUCGAGACCGGUUUAUUGGUCGUGCUUUUGUACGUACUGGUAUAAUCAGUUUCUCUCUUCUGACGAACCAUAAUGCCAUUAAUUUGGUGUUAUGGGAAAUCAGGACUGUUACUUUGAAAAAAUUAGAGUGUUUAAAGCAGGCUCACGCUUGAAUACAUUAGCAUGGAAUAACGAAAUAGGACGUUUGAUUUUAUUUUGUUGGUUUCUAGGAUCGACGUAAUGAUUAAUAGGGAUAGUUGGGGGCAUUAGUAUUCAAUUGUCAGAGGUGAAAUUCUUGGAUUUAUUGAAGACUAACUACUGCGAAAGCAUUUGCCAAGGAUGUUUUCAUUAAUCAAGAACGAAAGUUAGGGGAUCGAAGACGAUCAGAUACCGUCGUAGUCUUAACCAUAAACUAUGCCGACUAGGGAUCGGAUGAUGUUAAUUUUUAAUGACUCAUUCGGCGCCUUACG